rnacentral:tRNA from 1 species
GCCCCAAUAGCUCAGCUGGUAGAGCACCUCAUUCGUAAUGAGGGGGUCGGCAGUUCAAGUCUGUCUUGGGGCACCA